rnacentral:rRNA from 1 species
GAUGAACGCUAGCGGCAGGCCUAAUACAUGCAAGACGAACGGUAAGUUGAGUAGCAAUACUUAGCCAAGAGUGUCGUACGGGUGCGUAACACGUAUGCAACCUACCCUAUACAGGAGGAUAGCCUAGGGAAACCUGGAUUAACCCUUCAUAGUAUUAUUGGAUGGCAUCAUUUGAUAAUUAAAACUGAGGUGGUAUAGGAUGGGCAUGCGUCUGAUUAGUUAGUUGGCGGGGUAAUGGCCCACCAAGACGAUGAUCAGUAGGGGUUCUGAGAGGAAGAUCCCCCACACUGGCACUGAGAUACGGGCCAGACUCCUACGGGAGGCAGCAGUAGGGAAUAUUGGUCAAUGGAUGCAAGUCUGAACCAGCCAUGCCGCGUGCAGGAAGAAGGCCUUUCUGGGGUUGUAAACUGCUUUUGCCAGGGGAUAAAAUUUCCAUGCGUGGAAAACUGAAGGUACCUGGUGAAUAAGCCACGGCUAACUACGUGCCAGCAG